CAUCGUGCCCUCCGUUCUCUGUGACACAGCAGUGCUGCUGUGUAACAGCACCCAUUCCUCUCUGAGCCCUGACACCAGCCUGUAGCAGCUGAGCUAAGUCCCUGACAUCCAGGAGGCUCUGACACUGUGAAUGCUGAAGGAGCUGUACCCUUUGGCUGUAAGGGCGUUUGGGAUCCUAUGGAACUGGUUGGAGCACUGCCCUAGUGCCCGGAAGCUGGAGCACUGCAGGGUGUGUCCUUUGUUUCUCAUCAGGUGUGCACCACGAGGGCCCAGCCCUGCCUGCUCUGCUUCAGACAGCCCUCACACAGCACGUGAAGCACGGCUGCCUCUGCACACACACAAACCCACCCACACACCGUAGGGUGUCUUCACUCACAUCCUUUUUGGCUGACUUGUGUUUUCAUGGCUUUUAGCAAGAGACAAUUAGGGCUGUUCACAGAGACAAAGAAGCCACAAAGUCAAAUCAGAAUGUCAAAACAGGCAAAAUUUUAGAAGACAGAUUUUGAAAGGCUGCAUCACACACUCAUCCUUCAUAAUGACUGCUUUUAAUUGAACAAUUUCAAGUGAAUUUUCACUGAAUUCUAAUUUUCAUUACCAAAGGUUUAUGACCCAGGAUAUUCUAUGAUUGGGUGAGACCUUGGUGGUUUUCUUUCUUUUCCUCUUUAUGGACACUGCCAUGAGAACUACAGUGAAAUGCAUUCCUCCUACUCUGGUAAUAAGGUAUACAUUCAAUUUUAAAUUAUAGAAGGCAGUGGUUUUUUUUGGAUUUGUUACUUUUAGUAACACAAAUCAGGCUGGCUGGAGAUGUUAUUUCUACUCUGGAGAGUCUUGUGCAAAGUUUUAAAUUGUAAAGGGAAAUAAGUGAUUCUAGCUUUUAUGACAACACAAUUCUCAGUGACUUCUCUUGGUAUUAUUUUUCUGGGAAUAGCUACACAGUGCAGACUAAUAUAAACUUCUACGAGCACCUUGAGAGAAAUAUGCAUUUAAAAGUUUAUUUAGGCAAGGUAAAAGAUUACACUGAGAAGACUACAUUAGCACACGCUAAGCAGAAUAGAGCUCGAUUUCCACUCUGCCUACAUUUUCCUCACACGUGAGUGGACAAUUUAAAGUUCCUACUUCCACUUGGAGGCAAAGUCCUAAUCUUCACACUCUAGUCAAGCCAAACAGACAGAUUCUUCUGUGAGAAUAACUGGAAACAGAUCCUCCUAGGCAACAACCUGUGAAAAUCUAAAUUAUGUAUCUGUAACUGGACUGUAUAAAAAAGUUUAUAGAAGUAAUUUAAAGAAUAUUGAUACUGAAAAAUUAGUUUCUCAAGCCAAAAGGGAGUAAGUAUCACGAGGAGUUCUGUGGUUUUAUUCUCCAAUAGCUCAGUUUAGAUCCUGGGAUGGAUGCCACAAACUGAAAACAAGCAACUACAAUGCAAGUUGGUAAGCCUGAAGGACCAGCACUGACACCUUACAGAAUUCUUGUGUCCUAUGGGCAGUUUUUCCAUUCUAAGUAAUAAGCUUCAGAAACAGAUCUGUGGAUACUAGUAGAGAGGGACGAGAAGAACAAUUUGGAAACAGCACUCCAUAGUAACAGGUGUUUAAGGGCUGCAUUCUUGACACUGGAAUAUGGAGAAUACUGACAGAAAUUAGUAAAGGAGAGCUGUGCUGUGCAAAGGAUUCAAUUAGAAAGGUACAUAAGAAGCUCAAAGUUUUAAUAGGACAAGAGAUGAUAUGCAAAAAGGUAUGGAAAAACUCCAUGGCAGAAAGAGAUUGGUUCAAAUCUCCAAAGUCUGCAAGAAGCUCAGAAAAAGCGACCUCUCAGCACCCUGUUCUGGCCCCCUGCACUUCAAUGCCUUAAUUUAUUCUAGUCUAACACAACUGCAACUUCAGUCUUCUUGAAGCAAUCAACAAGUCUGUUGCUCAGAAUGAACAUCAAACUGAUGGCUGAAGCUAAAUGGUGCUUUGUCAGGCUGCCAGAGUGACUCUUUAAAAGAAAUACAUUAUUACAAUUUUAGGAAGUACAUUUAUGUCUCAAGUACAACUGGCCUCCAUUUUCCUGUCAGUGUCAGGCGUGCAUACGUACUACUGCCAGGAUGAAGGGCAAACUACUGCUGCAGCUGUUCUGUUUAUUUCUCCCAGCUUCCAAACCGUGCUACUUCUUCCCUCCUUUGCAGUCAUAUGCCAAAGCCUCAACUAACGUCAGCUGUGGCAAGACACAAUCCUUGCCUCAGAGUGAUCACGGGUUAAAUAGCCAAGACUAGCAAAUGGUAAGUGAAAUAAUGAAGGAAGUUAGAAACAAAGUUACUUGCCCAAGGUCACAGAGCAGGACAUGAGCACAACCCCUUUAUAGGCUUCCCUUCCUAAUAGGUCGCAUUUUCACUCACCUUUGGCUGGACUUUCUUCUCUGCUGCUUCUCCUCAGCUCUGAAUAAUUCAUUCUCCAGCUCUUAGGUCAAGAUUUCUGUUCACAUUUGAUAAUGUUAACUAGGCAAGAAGUCCUAUGCUGCCAUAUUAAAAGCACUGGCAAGAUCAAAACUUUUUAGCCAAGAAUUUUGCUGCUGGUUUAUUUAUCCAUAUACAUUUAGAAUUGUUUCUUCUUUACUGAUACUGGUGUUAUUAAUUCUGUCUCUGUCUGCCCAUGGCAAGGACUUAAUUUCUGCAAUUCAUAGCUCAAGACACAAAGAAACUCUGCAUUUGGAUUAGCUGCUACAUUUCCUCUGCCCCAUAAGUAUUUUGAUUUUGUAGAGUUUACUGCAAAUAUGGCAACAAAACUUAGUAGUGUAAAGGCAAACUGAGUUCUGCUACUAAUAACAAUUCAUCACUUCUACAUACAACACUGGAUCACCCAUCCAAAUAAUUUGAAGCCAAAAAGAAAUUCUGUAACAAGUAACUUGUUCUAGAUAAACAAAAUUGUUGUCUUGACCAUAGCCAGACAAAGUUAUUGCACUGAAUAAACUUGGCAGAUGUAAUUUCUGGAAGUGCUAAAUACAGCUCCUACUGACCCUAACUGCAGCAAUAAACUGGCAUUUUUAAAACUGA